ACCGAACAAGCAUUCGAAGAUAGCAAACGAGCGGUGCCGAGCGGCCCCGACCCUCUCCACAAUUGAUUGAUCACUUAGACGAAGUCAUUCUCUUUCUAUUUCUUUCUCCCUGCGGUUCCUUGUUUUCUCGUUAUUAAGCGAAAGCUUUUGCAACCUUUUUCUUGUAUCCGAAAUACCCUCGAUUUUCUCGUCAAUACGGCGGACAACUCCUUGCGGAUUCUUGAGGGGAAAACCGGGGGUAUUUCGGCA
rnacentral:lncRNA from 1 species